AACGCUGGCGGCGUGCUUAACACAUGCAAGUCGAACGGAAAGGCCCUGCUUUUGUGGGGUGCUCGAGUGGCGAACGGGUGAGUAACACGUGAGUAACCUGCCCUUGACUUUGGGAUAACUUCAGGAAACUGGGGCUAAUACCGGAUAGGAGCUCCUGCUGCAUGGUGGGGGUUGGAAAGUUUCGGCGGUUGGGGAUGGACUCGCGGCUUAUCAGCUUGUUGGUGGGGUAGUGGCUUACCAAGGCUUUGACGGGUAGCCGGCCUGAGAGGGUGACCGGCCACAUUGGGACUGAGAUACGGCCCAGACUCCUACGGGAGGCAGCAGUGGGGAAUAUUGCACAAUGGGCGGAAGCCUGAUGCAGCAACGCCGCGUGCGGGAUGACGGCCUUCGGGUUGUAAACCGCUUUCGCCUGUGACGAAGCGUGAGUGACGGUAAUGGGUAAAGAAGCACCGGCUAACUACGUGCCAGCAGCCGCGGUGAUACGUAGGGUGCGAGCGUUGUCCGGAUUUAUUGGGCGUAAAGGGCUCGUAGGUGGUUGAUCGCGUCGGAAGUGUAAUCUUGGGGCUUAACCCUGAGCGUGCUUUCGAUACGGGUUGACUUGAGGAAGGUAGGGGAGAAUGGAAUUCCUGGUGGAGCGGUGGAAUGCGCAGAUAUCAGGAGGAACACCAGUGGCGAAGGCGGUUCUCUGGGCCUUUCCUGACGCUGAGGAGCGAAAGCGUGGGGAGCGAACAGGCUUAGAUACCCUGGUAGUCCACGCUGUAAACGGUGGGUACUAGGUGUGGGGUCCAUUCCACGGGUUCCGUGCCGUAGCUAACGCUUUAAGUACCCCGCCUGGGGAGUACGGCCGCAAGGCUAAAACUCAAAGGAAUUGACGGGGCCCCGCACAAGCGGCGGAGCAUGCGGAUUAAUUCGAUGCAACGCGUAGAACCUUACCUGGGUUUGACAUGGAUCGGGAGUGCUCAGAGAUGGGUGUGCCUCUUUUGGGGUCGGUUCACAGGUGGUGCAUGGCUGUCGUCAGCUCGUGUCGUGAGAUGUUGGGUUAAGUCCCGCAACGAGCGCAACCCUUGUUCACUGUUGCCAGCACGUUAUGGUGGGGACUCAGUGGAGACCGCCGGGGUCAACUCGGAGGAAGGUGGGGAUGACGUCAAGUCAUCAUGCCCCUUAUGUCCAGGGCUUCACGCAUGCUACAAUGGCUGGUACAGAGAGUGGCGAGCCUGUGAGGGCGAGCGAAUCUCGGAAAGCCGGUCUCAGUUCGGAUUGGGGUCUGCAACUCGACCUCAUGAAGUCGGAGUCGCUAGUAAUCGCAGAUCAGCAACGCUGCGGUGAAUACGUUCCCGGGGCUUGUACACACCGCCCGUCAAGUCAUGAAAGUUGGUAACACCCGAAGCCGGUGGCCUAACCGUUGUGGGGGAGCCGUCGAAGGUGGGACUGGUGAUUAGGACUAAG
rnacentral:rRNA from 1 species